rnacentral:lncRNA from 1 species
CCCGCGCUCACCCCGCCUGACGCAGGGAGUCAAGCCCUGCCGGGCGUCAGGCCGCUGGAGGAAUGGAGUUCGCGGAGCUGAUCCGCACAGGCCAGGCCCAAGCCGAGCUCCUGCGGGGUCCGGAGGAGCCCCCACUGCGUGGCACGCUUUGCAUCACCGGCCACCACCUGAUGCUGUCGCCAGGGCCCCAGGCGACUCCAGACCUGUGGCUGCUGCUGUUGCGUAACGUUGACUCCAUCGAGAAGCGGGUCGCGGGUGACUCGGGCACCAUCACGCUGCGCUGUAAGGACCUGCGAGUGUUGCAGCUGGACAUAGAGGGCGUGGAGGCCACGCUGGACAUCGCCCGCUCCAUCGAGGCGCUGUCCUCCCUGGAAUCGGUCAUCACCUCCUUUCCGUUCUUCUACCGUCCCAAAGGUUUGAGGUUAGGCGACGCCUGGCACUUCCACCCUCCCGAAUGCUACUACAAGCGAGUAGCUCGCGAGACCAACGCGUGGCGGCUGAGCGAGGCGAACGAGGACUUCAGCUUGUGCCCCAGUUACCCUCGCGCCGUGAUCGUGCCUCGCGCGGUGGACGACAGUGCCCUGGCGCGUAGCGCCCGCUUCCGCCAGGGAGGCCGCUUCCCUGUGCUCAGCUACUACCACGCUCCCAGCGGAACCGUGCUGCUACGUGCUGGUCAGCCCCUGACUGGGCCCCAGAAGCGGCGUUGCUCUGAGGACGAGGACCUGCUGAGAGCUGUGUUGGCGGGGGCUCGGCCCGGGGCCCGGGGCUUCAUCGUGGACACGCGCUCGCCCCAGGCCGCCAAACAGGCCCGCAUGACUGGUGGAGGCACCGAGGCCAAGGCUGCCUACCCUGGCUGGAAACGACUGCACCGGCCCCUGGAGACGGGGCGGCCCCUACAGGAGAGCUUCGUGCGCCUGGUGGAGGCCUGCGGGGACCUGGAGCAGAGCAUGGACCGCUGGCUUAAUCGACUAGAGAGCUGCCGCUGGCUGUCACAUGUGAAGGAGACUCUGAGCACCGCCUGCCUAGCAGCCCAGAGCAUGGAACAGGAAGGGGCCUGUGUCCUGGUACAUGGGGCUGAAGGCACAGACAGCACCCUGCUCAUCACUUCACUGGCCCAACUCAUCCUAGACCCCUUGAGCCGAACCAUGGCUGGAUUCCAGGAACUAAUAGAGCGAGAGUGGAUCCAGGUGAGUGGCCGCCCAGCCCAGCCCUACCCCCCUCUAUUCAGAAACCCCACUCCCUCAUGCCCAUCACUCUGCCCCUUCCCCAGGCUGGCCACCCCUUCCAGCUGCGCUGUGCUCACUCAGCCUUCUCCCACGCCCGCCCCAAACACGAGGCCCCCACCUUUCUCCUCUUCCUGGACUGCGUGUGGCAGCUGGGCCGCCAGUUCCCGCUGUCGCUGGAGUUUGGGGAGGGGAUGCUACUGGCGCUGUUUGAUCACGCCUAUGCCUCCCCUUUUGGCACCUUCCUGUGCAACAACGAAAAGGAGAGGUGAGCUAAGGGGCUGUCCAGGUGGGCUAGAGGGCAGGCACAAGGCAGGGGCAGGGUGGGUAUCUACUUCCUUAGAAGACAUCUUUGGGAAUUCCUUGGUGGUCCAGUGGUUAGGACUCAGGGCUUUCAUUGCUGGGGACUGGGUUCAAUCCCUGGUCAGGGAACUAAGACUGCCCGUCCUCCCUCCCCUCCAAAAAAGAAGGUAUCUUUCCCUUUUGAGUUUCUCUUGUAGAAAAACUGUGUGUCCUUUCUGCUCCUGCCUCCGGAUCUCACACGUUCCCCUAACUUCUGCAAAGCUAGAAAUGAGUGGGUCCACGGUCUGUCCUUCAGACCUACCUACCCUGUCCACAGCCAAGAACCAUGCACUCCUAGCUUAA